AACGAACGCUGGCGGCAGGCCUAGCACAUGCAAGUCGAACGCUGUAGCAAUACAGAGUGGCAGACGGGUGAGUAACCCGUGGGAACAUGCCCUUCGGUUCGGAAUAACUAAGGGAAACUUGAGCUAAUACCGGAUACGCCCUUAGGGGGAAAGAGUUAUUGCCGAAGGAUUGGCCCGCGUCCGAUUAGAUAGUUGGUGAGGUAAUGGCAAACCAAGGCGACGAUCGGUAGCUGGUCUGAGAGGAUGAUCAGCCACACUGGGACUGAGACACGGCCCAGACUCCUACGGGAGGCAGCAGUGGGGAAUAUUGGACAAUGGGCGCAAGCCUGAUCCAGCCAUGCCGCGUGAGUGAUGAAGGCCCUAGGGUUGUAAAGCUCUUUCGCCAGGGACGAUAAUGACGGUACCUGGAUAAGAAGCCCCGGCUAACUUCGUGCCAGCAGCCGCAGUAA
rnacentral:rRNA from 1 species